AACUCCUCCAUAACCACUUUGUAGUUGUCUUUAUUCAUUUUACGCAACUCUUGGGAUGCUUCUUCCUUGGUGACUCCAUGUUGUUUCAUGUAGAAGUCGAGCCCAUUAGCCACCUCUCCUCUGCUUAUCUCAGUCUGCAAACAUCAUUUAUUCAUGAGGACAAACAAGAUGAGAAAACACACACACACACACAAGAUGAGAA